CUGGUUGAUCCUGCCAGUAGUCAUAUGCUUGUCUCAAAGAUUAAGCCAUGCAUGUCUAAGUACAAAUUGUGGUAAAAUGAAACUGCGAAUGGCUCAUUAAAUCAGCUACGGGUUCACUGGGUAAACCACAGUUACUUGGAUAACUGUGGUAAUUCUAGAGCUAAUACAUGCAAUUAUGCCCGCGCCUCACGGCAAGGGUGCUCUUAUUAGAUCAAAACCAACCUGGCUUCGGCUAGAAGUUUUGAUGACUCUGGAUAAUUGGGAGAUCGCAGGACUCAAUGUCGGCGACUCACCCUUCAAAAGUCUGCCCUAUCAACUAUAGAUGGUAUAUAACCUGUGUACCAUGGUGUUCACGGGUAACGGGGAAUCAGGGUUCGAUUCCGGAGAGGGAGCCUGAGAAACAGCUACCACAUCCAAGGAAGGCAGCAGGCGCGCAAAUUACCCACUCUCAAAACGAGGAGGUAGUGACAAAAAAUAACGAUGCGGGACUCAAUCGAGGCCCCGUAAUCGGAAUGAGUACAAUUUAAAUCCUUUAACGAGGAUCAAUUGGAGGGCAAGUCUGGUGCCAGCAGCCGCGGUAAUUCCAGCUCCAAUAGCGUAUAUUAAAGUUGUUGCAGUUAAAAAGCUCGUAGUUGGAUCUAAGGAUUUGAACUAACGGUUUGCCUUAUGGUGAUACUGUUGGAUCUGCCUAAAAAUGUCGUGGAGGCUAUUAGUGUUCUUAAUUGAGUGCUUUUAGUGCCCGACGCUAUUACUUUGAGAAAAUUAGAGUGCUUAAAGCAGGCAUAAUGCUUGUAUACUGUUGCAUGGAAUAAUAAAAUAUGAGUUUGCUUUUAUUUUGUUGGUAUUCGGAAGUGAACUAAUGAUUGACGGGGACAGUCAGGGGCAUUUGUAUGGAGGGGCUAGAGGUGAAAUUCUGUGACCCUCUCCAGACAAUCUACUGCGAAAGCAUUUGCCAGGAAUGUUUUCAUUAAUCAAGAACGAAAGUCAGAGGUUCGAAGACGAUCAGAUACCGUCCUAGUUCUUUAGAGUGCUUAAAGCAGGCAUAAUGCUUGUAUACUGUUGCAUGGAAUAAUAAAAUAUGAGUUUGCUUUUAUUUUGUUGGUAUUCGGAAGUGAACUAAUGAUUGACGGGGACAGUCAGGGGCAUUUGUAUGGAGGGGCUAGAGGUGAAAUUCUGUGACCCUCUCCAGACAAUCUACUGCGAAAGCAUUUGCCAGGAAUGUUUUCAUUAAUCAAGAACGAAAGUCAGAGGUUCGAAGACGAUCAGAUACCGUCCUAGUUCUGACCAUAAAUGAUGCCAUCUAGCAAUUCCCGGAGUUUGCUAGUACGAACUUGGGAGCGGCCCCCGGGAAACCAAAGACUUUGGGUUCCGGGGGAAGUAUGGUUGCAAAGCUGAAACUUAAAGGAAUUGACGGAAGGGCACCACCAGGAGUGGAGCCUGCGGCUUAAUUUGACUCAACACGGGAAACCUCACCCGGCCCGGACACUGUUAUGAUUGACAGAUUAACAGCUCUUUCUUGAUUUAGUGGUUGGUGGUGCAUGGCCGUUCUUAGUUGGUGGAGUGAUUUGUCUGGUUAAUUCCGAUAACGAACGAGACUCUAACCUGCUAAAUAGUAUGUUUAUAUUAUAAAGUGAACAAUGACUUCUUAGAGGGACUAAUGGCGUUUAGUCAUGUGAGAAAGAGCAAUAACAGGUCUGUGAUGCCCUUAGAUGUUCGGGGCCGCACGCGCGCUACACUAACUGAAGCAACGGGUAUCAUCCUGGUUAGAAAUGACUGGGUAACCCGCUUAAAUCUCAGUUGUGACUGGGAUCGAGGUUUGCAAUUAUCUCUCGUGAACGAGGAAUUCCGAGUAAGCGCAAGUCAUUAGCUUGCGCUGAUUACGUCCCUGCCCUUUGUACACACCGCCCGUCGCUACUACCGAUUGAACGGUUUAGUGAGAAUUUUGGAUUGGCUUCGUUGAGGCGGCCCUUCACGGGGCUGCUUCGGCUGGGCUGAGAAGAUGUUCAAACUUGAUCGUUUAGAGGAAGUAAAAGUCGUAACAAGGUUGCCGUAGGUGAACCUGCA
rnacentral:rRNA from 1 species